CCAGGUGUGUGUGUGUGCGUAGAUCUCAAUGAGUCACUCAUCCCUCCCUAUGAUCAUAGCUGGGGUUAGAUUCCGGGUCAGCAAACCAGAAAGAGAGAGGAUGUGGAAAUUGCUCGUUUAUGUUGGGAUGUGUAUGUUUGUCACCGCCAGGCUUUUUGUUUGAGGAUGCGCCAGCUGCAACCUCUCCCAUGAGCCCCCACCCCGAUUCCCCUGAAACACCCACUGCUAUUCUCUGAGGUUUCAUAUGUGUGUGUGGGGGGGGAGACGGCCAGCAACGCUUCUUCCCAUCACGCCAGUAUGCAAAUCAUCCACUGUGGGGGUCACUGGUGUUGCCCCACCUUUACUCUCCAUUCAGCAUGUGUAUGAUCGUGUGUGUUUUUGUCUGAGCAGCUUUUAACUAGAUCAACUCAUUAGCAUGUUAAUUAUGUACAGAGCACUAAUUGCUGGAUUUAUCGUACACACAUUGCGCUCUUGGGGGGCCCAAACACACACAUAAACCCAAAAUGCUUUUAUACAGUUUACCUUUUGUGUACACGCCGCACCGGAGGUAGACCUCUUGCAAAUGAUGCUUAUACACAAACACACAGGUGCUCCCCGGCCGCCGCUUGUGUCGUGUUGUGUCUGUGGCCUCCGCACUUUCCAGGUUCACUCGCUAAUCACUGCCUGUGUGAGAUUAGCGGGCUAAUUUACUCCUGGGUCACGAACAGCCUCCAAAUCAGAAAUGCACACAGCAGCUUACGCAGCCUCGCUCGCAACUCAAGUGCCAGUUGUGCUGCCUCCAACCGACGCCGCUGCAAAACAUACUGAUGAAGACGCGGGAAUCACUCGCUAGUUCUGCACAUUUCCAAGAGCUGAAUUAUUUGUUUUCAGUUAAUAGUUGUAGCUGUCUAAAAAAGAUUUUAUUUUGUCAAUUUGAGUUGCAUUUAAUUUUAUGUCUCAUUGCUGACCCCUUGUGGUGAACUGAAAAAAAACUAACUGUGCAUGCGCUGUCCACGCGUUGGAUCAUAACGAGCCAGGUGGCGCAGCAUUAGCAUAACGAAAAAAGAACACAGAGAACACGCUGGACGGAGACAGAACAGAGCACGGUGGAAAGACUGAAAAUGGACGAGCAACUCCUUAAAAUGUGAUCAGAGGGCACACGUUUUUCACGGUGAUUCCUUGGUGAUUCCUUGGUGAUUCUUUGGCGAUUCUGUGGUUACGUGAAAAAUAAAUGACCAAAAGAUCA